UGGAAUUGAGUUGAUGCCACUGUGAAC
rnacentral:piRNA from 1 species